rnacentral:rRNA from 1 species
CCUACGGGAGGCUGCAGUGGGGAAUAUUGCACAAUGGGCGCAAGCCUGAUGCAGCCAUGCCGCGUGUGUGAAGAAGGCCUUCGGGUUGUAAAGCACUUUCAGCGGGGAGGAAGGCGGUGAGGUUAAUAACCUCAUCGAUUGACGUUACCCGCAGAAGAAGCACCGGCUAACUCCGUGCCAGCAGCCGCGGUAAUACGGAGGGUGCAAGCGUUAAUCGGAAUUACUGGGCGUAAAGCGCACGCAGGCGGUCUGUCAAGUCGGAUGUGAAAUCCCCGGGCUCAACCUGGGAACUGCAUUCGAAACUGGCAGGCUAGAGUCUUGUAGAGGGGGGUAGAACUCCAGGUGUAGCGGUGAAAUGCGUAGAGAUCUGGAGGAAUACCGGUGGCGAAGGCGGCCCCCUGGACAAAGACUGACGCUCAGGUGCGAAAGCGUGGGGAGCAAACAGGAUUAGAUACCCUUGUAGUC